AGAACAAGUAGCAAAAGUAAAAAAGCUGGAGCAGCAGUAUCAAGAGAAACAAGUGGCUUUCUCAGCUUCCCUGAUGGCCUCAGAUUCCGGAUAUAUUGGACCAUUUAACACAAAGACACCUCUAGUCUUCAGGAAUGUUGUUGUUAAUAUUGGCAAUGCCUACAACCCAAACACAGGUUUUUUCAUUGCACCUGUGCGAGGAGCAUAUCACUUUGAGUUCUACUUACAUUGUCAUGGACAUGCAACUUAUUAUACAGCUGCUGUGUUGGUCAAGAAUGGAACUCCUGUAUUAUC